rfam:Dipodomys ordii contig_12721, whole genome shotgun sequence.
GGUGGCUCAGUGGUAGAGUGCUUGGCUCGAAUGCAUGAAGCCCUGGGUUCAAUUCCUCAGCACCA